GACGAACGCUGGCGGCGUGCUUAAAAACAUGCAAGUCGAACGGACUUCUCAUGAAGCUUGCGAUUGAGAAGUUAGUGGCGGACGGGUGAGUAACGCGUGGGCAACCUGCCCCUGAGCCCGGGAUAACAGUUCGAAAGGACUGCUAAGACCGGAUAUACUUGCGGUGAAGCAUUUCACUGCAAGGAAAGGGAACGCUCAGGGAUGGGCCCGCGUCCCAUUAGCUAGUUGGUGAGGUAACGGCCCACCAAGGCGACGAUGGGUAGCCGGCCUGAGAGGGUGAACGGCCAACACUGGGACUGAGACACGGCCCAGACUCCUACGGGAGGCAGCAGUUGGGAAUCUUCGGCAAUGGGCGCAAGCCUGACCGAGCAACGCCGCGUGAGUGAUGAAGGUUUUCGGAUUGUAAAGCUCUGUCUUCCGGGACGAUAAUGACGGUACCGGAGGAGGAAGCCACGGCUAACUACGUG
rnacentral:rRNA from 1 species